rnacentral:tRNA from 210 species
GCGGGAAUAGCUCAGUGGUAGAGCACAACCUUGCCAAGGUUGGGGUCGCGAGUUCGAAUCUCGUUUCCCGCUCCA